ensembl:lncRNA
AAGCCAUUUCAUGAGCAGGGAGUUGUAAAUGUUCUCAUUCUGUUACCUGCUGAGCUCCUGGUGAGAGAGGAGACCCAAGCUCUAGAUUCAUUCUGAUCUAACAAGUGCCCUACCCUCUCAGCAGUGAGUGGCCUCCCAUGGGUACUGGGACCCACACUCAGGAGCUCUGGACUGCUAAGCCACUGAUACAGUCCCAAGGUCCCCACGUAACAGGAACUGGAAGAAGGAAACGGUUUUUUUUGCCUGCUUGUCCCACUCUCACUGACAUCUAUCCUGUUGCUGAGGCAUUCCUCACCAGCAGUCAGGAUUCCAACAAAGACUGAAAACCAGCAGCUCUCCAGGAAUUCUCCAGGUUUUCAGUGCCAGGAGUUAUCCUAUCAAGACAGCUGUGCAUGACAUGAAUGUGAUACUAGAUGAUUUAGAACCUGAAUGAGGAAUGGAAGAAGCCUACAUAAAGUAAGAUGGAAAUACAUUAUUGUCAUCAUUGUGGAUGCUUUCUAGGCAAUAUACGACAAUGGUGGAUGAUGUAUGGCCAGAAGACUUACUGGAUAACUGUUGUUAUGAUGUUACUGAGCAGAGCAUUAAGGUAUGUACUGAUAAGCUGAGUUCCAGCAUAAUUAAGACAUUCAGUGGUUAGUGGCUCCUGAGGAUUGUGUCUGACCAGAGACUUCCCUACAGAGAUCACCAGUGGAUUCUGGCACAAAUAGGAGGAUCCCAACACAACAGUGUCAAGGGUUCCACUGAAGACCUUAGAAGGCAGGUGAUAGAAUUUAUCAAAAGGAAGGUCAAGAGCAAAGGACUACGAUUGUUACCACAACUCCAUAGCACCAGGGAGAAAAGAGAUGGCAGGCAGCAACAAAACCAUCCAACCUCUCAGAGCAAAGGGAACCAAGUAUGUCUAACCAAGAUUCUAAUUUUCAAGAUUUCUCAACAUCACCUUCUACCACCCAGGUCCAGAUCCAGGCCAGUUUUCAAAUACAGAGUCCAGUGUUGGGAAAGGAUUUCUUCAAAACCAUGGCUAGCUGACACUUCCCUGACGCAGUCUGCAAACAGGAACUCAGUUAGCCAUAUAUUGGGGAAACGCUGAGUUCAGACGUGUCAAGGUUGUUGGGUUCAAAGUUUUAACAAGGAACCUCUCUUACAGCAGGGGCAUACGGCACCUAGCAAUACAUGGAUGCUCAAGACACUUUGAGGAUUCCAGUGUGUCUGCAUAGUCACUACUGCUCAACCAGUGGUGAGCCUUUCUCCUGUCCCAGAAUGGAAAAUUGAAGAAGAUGCAUUUGACAGUGGGCCCAACUUGGAUUCCUUGGCCUGUGGAUGAAAGUUAAUGAAGUGGGGCAGGGACCAGGGAGGUGCACACCACCACAUCCAGCUGUUUGUGGGUUCUGAGCUCCAAACCCAGGCCCCCACGCUUGUACAGUGAUGGGGGAAAUACUUCUGUGUAUGUUUAUAAAUAAAGUACUUGCUUGGCCAAUGAGACAGCAGGUUAGGCUGGACUAGGAGUCAAAGAGGAUUCUGGGAAAUGUAGUAGAGAAGUGGUGUUCCAGACAGGAAGUGACAUAGCAGGGAGACUCAUAUUUAAGAAGAGGAAAAAGAAAGUGUCGCGCCCUUUUCCCCUCGACUCCUGCUCCAGCCGCACAAUGUGAUCCACCAGCAAGGAGGGACGCCAAUAAGGCGUCCGAUAAGAUAAGUCUUAUAAAAUAUAUAGAUGUAUGAUAAUUGAGACUGAGCUAACAGAUGAGAAUCCUAGUCAUUGGCCAAGCAGCACUAUAACUAAUACAAGUCUCUCUGUGUAUUCAUUUGGGCCUAACUCGGGCGGGUGGCUGUCGUAAAGCUCACAUGUGGUGGUGGGGCUCAGCAGCAUUUGGCAAAAAGAUUAUCGUAACAGUACAGCAGGCUUUUUAUUCAGCGAGCCAUUUCCCCACCCUGAAAUCUUUCUUGAUGGAGCUCCCACCACCUGACUCCAUCUUCCUGAAGGUUCUUGCUACAGCUCAGCAGAUGACAGUUGCUUUUCCUAAGGUCACAUGAUCUCCUCCAUAGCAGCCUACAUUUAAAGAUGAAGGAAGCUGUCAUUGAAGAGUAUACUGUCAUCUUACCAGUUCCUGUGUCUUCCAAACAAAGGAAACUCUGUACUUGCUUUAGUUCGUGAAUACAUUUCUGGAAUCUGGUAAAGAAUGAUUGGCUGGAAAGAUGGCUCAGUAGUUAAGCGCAUUUGUGUCUCUUGCAGAGGACCCCAGUUAGGUUCCCAGCACCCAGGGGGAUCUAUCUGAUGCCCUCCCUGACAACUUGGGUACCAGGCAUGCACAGGGUGCACAUACAUACAUGCAGAUAAAACACUCAUACACAUAAAAGAAAAUCUAUAAUUCUAAAAAAGAAGGCCAAUAUUUAAAAAGGUGCUGAAUAUCUAAAAGCUUUAAGACAAAUAGCAAAGGUAGGAGCCAGCCUUCGGGAAAUCCUCGGGUCUGGUAAUCCUGCUUGGAGAAGGAGUAGGUUGGAGCUAAGGAAUUGAAUGAGCAAGGCUGUGCCAACCUUCCCAUUCAUGCUCUCUUUUGAGACUUCCCUGACAUGUGACAUCAGCUAUCAAACACGGUAACUGAAUAUCAUUUCGUUUUGCCCAUUUCAUCUGAGAUCAUAUUUUUCAUCAAAAGGGCAUUCAGGGUGAAGACAAAAAUUUAAUCUCUUCUGUUUUUUUCCUUUUAAAAAAUAUUUAUUUUUAUUUUUCCUAAGGUGUAUGUGUCUAUGGGAGUAUACCCCAUGUAACUGUGGGCCCCAAGAAGCCAGAAAGGGCAUCAGAUCGCCUGGGGCUAGAGAUACAGGCAGUUGUGUGCUGACCAAUGUGGGCACUGGGAAUCCAACUCCAGGCCACUUCAGAGAGCAGCAAUUAACUCUUAAUUACUGAGCCAUCUCUAGCCUCAAAAACCUGUUCUCUAUACCAGCCAGUAUGGUGCUGGGACUUAUAAUAUGUACAUAUGCUAAUCAAUUGAUGUCUAACCCAGCUAGUGAGUAUAGCUGAUAAAUCCCAGGUGUUCGGCAGAAGUGGGCACCCUCUCAGUAGUUUAACUGCAGGGCCAGGAAUUGAACCUAGAACCUCAAAGAUGCUAGCUAAUAGAGUAUCUUUUUCCACAUUUAAAAAGAACUUUCUGAAUUAUAAAUGUUUUUCUUAUGUUAUUUAACAAUGCACACUGUUUAAAACUGAAUUCAAACCUUGGGGUUUCUCAGGAGCCGUUAACUGUACAGUUUGUGCUAACUCUGGGUGUGGAGCACCUUGUAAGACUCAGCUUUGGGCUUGCUUCUCUUUGCUACCUUUUAGCCUCGUUUCAUGAAACUGUUCAAAUAAACCAGACUUGCUUUUGUUGAAAGAAAAAAAAAAAGAAUGCUAGGUAAAUACUCCACCACUGAAUAAAUGUUCAGUGUACACACACCCUCAACCUCUCAGCCUCACACACACAAUAAAUAAAUAAAAAUAUAAUUUAAAAAUUCUUGUUUUAGGUGUGUAAGGUGAAAUACACUUGAAAUCUUGGCACUUAGGAGGUAGAGGCAGGAGGAACAGCCGCUCAAGGACAGCUUUGUCUACAUAUCGAGCUCCAGGCCAGUCUGGGCUAAGUGCAACCCUUUCUAAAUGAAAUGAGCAAAUAAGUUCCUAGUUUAUGAAAUCGGGGAAUUUAAGGGAUAAAAACAUGGAAUUCCCUGUGUUUUCUAGUCCCAGACUUUUAAGUUAUAGCACAUUCUUCUCCCCACCUUUUUUAGGUUUGUGAAGCCAGACUUAAUAAAAUCGAUUUUAAGCAAGAAAACUCCUUAUAAAUAAGAAACCAUUAGUAAGGCCCCCGGAAACCAGGAGCUGGCUUUCCUUCCCAUCUUGGACUUAUAUUUUGAAUGAGAGGGCCCACAAAGAGGGGGUGCUAAGCUUUCGCCUUGCUUCCUUGCAAUUGGUUUUUACUCUAUAAAUGACAGAAGUGUGUACUGUGUCAGCCUGCAAGCCCAGGAACUGUGCAUGUCUGGGAUCAGUCAACAGACUGCUCAUGUCUGGGACAAGCCAGGAAAAAUAAUGAACGAAUGAACGAACAAACAAACAAACAAAAGCCCUCUUGUUUUCUGGUUGAAGGAAGCAAUCAGAAAGUGGACAUAGACAGCCAUGCCUCAGAGAGAUUGUUAUUUAUCCAGGGCUAUUUUCUCGUUCUUUCCGGGUAGCAGGAGUAACCGAUUCCCAGCAGGCCUCAACAGGUGCUUCCCUGUUAUAGUCCACUCAAAGCUUGCCUCACUGAGCACAGUCUGACGGAGACGGAGACAGAGACGGAGAUGGAUGCUGUCUUUAUUUCACUUUGCAUGCCAUCCAAAUGGAUCACCAAAACAGGUAGACCAGAUCUCCAGAUGCCAUGGUGUCCUGUUCCUGCUCUACAGGAUCUCCUGACAGACAUUGUGGUGUCCUGCCUCUACUCUUCUGGACCUCCUGACAUUGUGGUGUUCUUGUUGUCUUUGUGUGUGUGUGUGCGUGCACUCUUCUUCCCUCUGGGCCACAGAACUUGGACAGAGAUAUGCUGAAGUAGAGAUCAGAAUCACCACAGUCCCUUCCUGCCUUUGUCCUGUGACAUGGGUUCUCCCAGCCACCACUGCUUGGCUCUCAAGAUUCUUAUCCCAGUAAAAGGAAUGGACACAUGCAGAGCUGUGCAUCACAGAUGUUUAUCCCAUUGCAGAGACAGAACGAGGGGUCAUUUGUGAUGAGCUUAUAAAGCUUCCCCGGGACGAUUGUGGAGCUCUCUGCUCACAUCUGUGCCCUUCGGAAAGAUGCUUCAGCUGCUGGGCCCAAGGUGGUCUACCUUAAACAUAUCAUCCCACACCUCAUGUUUCAACAGACCUGGUGACCUUGAAAGCUGAUCCUGUGGUACCUCCUCAAUGGCUUGCAAAGAGUUCCUUGGCAGGCUUCCUCUGGGAACUAAAGACAUGUGCAACCAACUCACUGCUCCAAGACUGGUUUUAGGAUGUUGGGUCAAAGUUGUGGAGUCUGGGGAUUUGGGUAAUGUUGUGAAGCAAGAGCUUUAGCCCCAUUCUGUUGUCAUCACCUCAGAUUAUCUGCUGCCAGUGGCCACAUGGUAGGCCCCAUGGAGGAUUCUCCCAGCCUUUGUUAGUUUGGGCUUCUUGGAAGGUACAUCAGUUCUGGGACCCCUUGGGCUCAGGAAGUCUGUUGGAGCUGGAGGCCAGUUGCAUCCCAAGUUUCUGAGGAUCUGUUACAGAGUGUUCCUGGACAGGGUUUCAAAUGGCCCUUCCUGGCCUGGCAAUUGAAGAGAAGAUGACCUUGAAAUCCCAGCUCCUUGGCCUCUGCUUCCCAAGUCCUGGAAUUUGAGGCAUGUUUCCUCACCCUGGCCUUGAAUCGGAGUCUUCUUUGGGAUCUUCCCAGCUUUAUAUUUCUGAUCUGGUCACAAAGCAGAAGCAGAAGGCAUCGGUUGCGUCUCUGUGAAAAAGAAUGCCAGCUGGAAUGAACACAGUUAGGGAAAGCAAAGAUAGGAAGACCAACUCUGUGAAGAGGAACUCCAGAAAGACGCUGUGACUGCAGAGACAGGCACUGUUAGAACAUCAGUGCUGUGGGGAAGCUGGGCGGUGGCCAGUCCAAAAGCUGGUUACCUCAUCCUGGUGCCUAUCCUUGCCCACUUCUGGGUCAGAACUAACAGUUUGUGACUAACAGAUGGGAAUCUUUUAGAAUCUAUUAACUUCGAAGACCAGUAGCUUCCACCAACCCCACAGCUAAGAAUGUCAUCAGACACUAUCUUGGGUCAAGAGCAAAUCUUCUUCAGUUGGCUGUAACUGUUUCUUAAAUGUACCCACCUAUGGAGUUGAACUUGCCUUGAUUUAAGACUUCUUUGUUCUAUAGAACCAUGAAACAACUUACACCUUGGAACAUGGAAUUUGGAGUAGCCAAAAUCUAUGUUCCUCAGUCAUGGUCACUGGAAAUAGCUCCAGAAUAAACUAUCUCCCAUUCCCCUUUAGAUGAGAGCUGUGAUGGGGUGUGUGUGUAACAACUCUUAGUUUGUUAAGACAUAACACAUGGGGGCUGAAGAGAUAGCUCAGUUGGUAAAGUGCUCACCUUGCAAACACGAGGGCCUGAUUUUUGUCCUCAGAAUCUUCAAAUAUUAAAAAGUUGGGGCAUGUUAGCAACCUCAGCACUAGGGAAGUAGGAACAGGAGGACCCCUGGGAAAGGAGAUAGACAGAACUUAAGAAAUGGCACUUGAGGCUGAUCAUGGUGGGGUGUGCCCUUAAUCCCAGUGCUUGUGUGGCAGAGUCAGAUGAAUCUCUGAGUUCAAGGCCAGCCUGUAGCAAGUUCAGGACAGCAGGGCUACAUGCUGAGACCCUGUGCCUUCACUUGGUUUCUGGUGCAGUGAUUCAGAGCAGGUUGGGCAAGGGAAUAGUCAAGUUCAUCUCCCAGUCCAUCACUGAGAGAAGUCGGGGCAGGAACUCAAGAUGGGAGCAUGGUGGCAGGAACCGAAGCCAGGCCAUGGAGAACAACUCUUACUGGCUUUGCUCCUCCUGGAUUACCAAGUUUGCUUUCUUGUACAACCCAGAACCACCUGCCAAAAGAUUGGCACCACCCACAGUGGGCUGAGUCCUCCCACACCAAUUUUUAAUUAAGAAAAUGUCCUAUUAGCUCAACUACAGGCCAAUCUUAUGUAGGAAUUUUCUCAGUUGAGGUUCCGUCCUCUCAGACAGCUUGUGUCAAGUUGACAAAAAAGACAAUCAACACACCCUGCCUCAAUAAAUAAACAGAACACAUGAGGAUGUCCUUUAACUUCCAUGCACACACACACACUCAGAUGAACACACACACACACACACACACACACACACACACACACACACACACACGCACACACACGAGACUGUCCUUUGACUUCCAUGUGUGCUUGCAUACACACACACACAAACACACACACACGCUCCACAGAACAGAUACAUAAAUGACUUGAUGUCCAGCCCUUCAGCAAUUGCCAUCAGGCAUCCCUAUGUGGGGAUAAGCAGAGGUAGGAGCCAGGAGUAAAGGCUACUUUUUUUUCUUUUUCCUUCUUAUCCACUUUGCUUCUGUUUCAUUCCGAGAGGCUUUCACACCGGAGUCUAGACUUCAUGAGGAAGAUAAUUUUGGCAUUUGAUUGCCUUUUGUAGUUUGGGUUGUGAAAUUUCCUGUGACAGACAGAACAAUCCACCCUCUUCAAUUUUAUGCAGAUGUAAACUCAGUUCCACUUAAAAACAAUUUUUUUUUUGAGAGCGCCUUUGUUUCCUCUGUAGUAGAAAAUUGUGAAAGUUUUUGAGUUAGGAAUAAAACCUUACUUUGACUUCAAAAGAUAUAAUUAAGGGUCCAAGGCAUAGUAUUCUAAUUAGCUUUAAUUGUUGAGAGCCUUAACAGAGGAGUUGCCUAGAUAGGAUAGGCCUGCGCACACUCACUGUCUUCAUUGUUAAUUGAUAUAGAAGGAUUCAGUUCACUGUGGGUGGCACCAUUUCCUGAGCAGGUGGUCCUGGAUGCUAAGAAAAGCUAGCUGAGUAGAAGCCAGCCUGGAAAACAACAAGCAGUGUUCUUUGUGGCUCCUGCUGCACUUCUUUGCCUGUGAGUUCUUUGGUGGGGGCAAUACGUUAUGGAAGAGAGCAGGCUGCCUUCAAGUGUCUGCCUUAACUUCUGCUAAUGAUGCACUGUGAUCUGCAGUACAAGCCAGAAAAACUGGCGGGAGGAUUUAAUCACAGCAACAGAAAGUAAAUUAGAAUACAUAGUAACAUGAAUAGGUAAAAAAAAUGAAGGUGUAAUUAGGCCUCAAAUGGCAAAGAAUGGCUGUAUUAGAGUAAGAGACAUGAGGCCAGAGCCUUCAGGUUGGUGAGCUAUGGGUACAUGCUUCUCAAAUCCCACUUAGAAAUGGCGGUAGGAAAUAAUAAAGUGUACUGCAUGUAGAUAAAUGGUGUAUUAUUCCAG